UACGUAUGGAGCAAGCGUUAUCCGGAUUUACUGGGUGUAAAGGGUGCGUAGGCGGCACAGCAAGUCAGAUGUGAGAGACCGGGGCUCAACCCCGGGGCUGCAUUUGAAACUGCCGAGCUUGAGUCCGGGAGAGGCAGGCGGAAUUCCUAGUGUAGCGGUGAAAUGUGUAGAUAUUAGGAGGAACACCAGUGGCGAAGGCGGCCUGCUGGACCGGAACUGACGCUGAGGCACGAAAGCGUGGGGAGCAAACAGG
rnacentral:rRNA from 1 species